UACGUAGGUGGCUAGCGUUGUCCGGAUUUACUGGGCGUAAAGGGUGCGCAGGCGGCCGUGUGUGUGAGGCGUGAAAGCCCGGGGCUUAACCCCGGAAUUGCACCUCAAACUACAUGGCUAGAGCAUUGGAGAGGGUAGCGGAAUUCACGGUGUAGCAGUGAAAUGCGUAGAUAUCGUGAGGAACACCAGAGGCGAAGGCGGCUACCUGGACAAUUGCUGACGCUCAGGCACGAAAGCGUGGGGAGCAAAAGGG
rnacentral:rRNA from 1 species